GCACUGCUGAGGAGUCCUAUAAUAGGACGAAACGGCCUUCUAGUGC
rnacentral:hammerhead_ribozyme from 1 species